rnacentral:rRNA from 1 species
GGCGCAGGCGGGAAAGCAAGUCAGAUGUGAAAUUUCGGGGCUCAACCUCGAAGCUGCAUUUGAAACUACUUUUCUUGAGGAUAGUCGGAGAAAACAGAAUUCCACAAGUAGCGGUGAAAUGCGUAGAUAUGUGGAAGAAUACCCGUGGCGAAGGCGGUUUUCUAGAUUAUUCCUGACGCUGAGGCCCGAAAGCUAGGGGAGCGAACA